UGAUAUCGGAGAAGAGCUGCUACGUGAUACAACUGGGAUAAGAACCCAGCGCUGAGGGACUCCAGAGACCCUACUCCGCCAAGAACAGGUUUUAUCGCCUCCUCUGGAAGAGAGAACGCGGAGCCAUCAGCCUUCUCCGAUAAGAGUUGGGAGUUUCUCUUCUUGUGACAGUCAUGUCUCUGCCUCCUUAAAACCCCUCUUGAAAAGCCUGUCGAAGGAAGUGUCUCCAAAAAG